rnacentral:misc_RNA from 1 species
CAGUAAAUUGGGUUGUCGCUCAAAGCAGCACGCCCUCCACAUACACACACCUUGUGCACCUUAUAUCUAUUACAGCCUGUCUCUAAUGCAUGUCUUGAUCAUUCUAUGGAAUACAAUA